GAGGGUAUAGCUCAGUGGUAGAGCGCAUGCAUGAGGUCUUGAGUUCAAUUCCCAGUACCUCCU
rnacentral:tRNA from 1 species